rnacentral:rRNA from 1 species
AGGAUGCUUUUGGCGAGGUGCCUUCCGAGUUCCCUGGAACGGGACGCCACAGAGGGUGAGAGCCCCGUCUGGUCGGAUACCGAGCCUCUGUAAAGCUCCUUCGACGAGUCGAGUAGUUUGGGAAUGCUGCUCUAAAUGGGAGGUAUAUGUCUUCUAAAGCUAAAUACCGGCCAGAGACCGAUAGCGCACAAGUAGAGUGAUCGAAAGAUGAAAAGCACUUUGAAAAGAGGGUUAAAUAGUACGUGAAAUUGUUGAAAGGGAAGCGCUUAUGACCAGACUUGGGCCCGGUGAAUCAUCCAGCGUUCUCGCUGGUGCACUUUGCCGGGCUCAGGCCAGCAUCAGUUUGCCCCGGGGGAUAAAGGCUCUGGGAACGUGGCUCCUCCGGGAGUGUUAUAGCCCACUGCACAAUACCCUGGGGCGGACUGAGGUUCGCGC